rnacentral:rRNA from 1 species
GGAGGGCAAGUCUGGUGCCAGCAGCCGCGGUAAUUCCAGCUCCAAGAGCAUAUAUUAAAGUUGUUGCAGUUAAAAAGCUCGUAGUUGGACUUCUGGUUUAAUGCACCUGGCCCGCGGCCCACAAGGCCUGUGAGUGCCGGCGCGCGUUUACCAUCCUUCCAGCAGCGGCUACCCUUAACUGGGCGGCUGGAACUGGAUCUUUUACUUUGAAAAAUUAGAGUGUUUAAGCAGGC